AGAUGUUUGAGCCAGCUACGGAGUGUAUCUGAAUGGCUGCAUCUUAAUUCCUACACUAUACCAGAAUGGUUCGUAGUGCUAAUUUGAAGAAACAAGAUGGCAGAAUCAAAUAACCUCUGGGCAAAGAAGCAAGAUGAAAACAUACUGCAAACAAGAGCAUAGGAGGCGUACCCAAGAAGUUUGCACAUCUGAAGAUAUGUUUAAUUCAUGUUUUCUCCUUUUGAGUGAGCCGUAUAAAGUACGUUUAAUGAGCAUCUACUAAAAUAUGUACUA